CCUACGGGUGGCAGCAGUGAGGAAUAUUGGUCAAUGGACGAGAGUCUGAACCAGCCAAGUAGCGUGAAGGAUGACUGCCCUAUGGGUUGUAAACUUCUUUUAUAUGGGAAUAAAACGUUCCACGUGUGGGAUUUUGUAUGUACCAUAUGAAUAAGGAUCGGCUAACUCCGUGCCAGCAGCCGAGGUAAUACGGAGGAUCCGAGCGUUAUCAGGAUUUAUUGGGUUUAAAGGGAGCGUAGGUGGAUUGUUAAGUCAGUUGUGAAAGUUUGCGGCUCAACCGUAAAAUUGCAGUUGAAACUGGCAGUCUUGAGUACAGUAGAGGUGGGCGGAAUUCGUGGUGUAGCGGUGAAAUGCUUAGAUAGCACGAAGAACUCCGAUUGCGAAGGCAGUUCACUGGACUGCAACUGACACUGAGGCUCGAAAGUGUGGGUAUCAAACAGGAUUAGAUACCCCAGUAGUC
rnacentral:rRNA from 1 species